rnacentral:lncRNA from 1 species
UUUGGAUGGCCAAUCGAAACAGACCUGUCAAUGGCCGGGGCUCCAGAAUUUCGAUGCAGCGAGAUGGCACCAUGAUUCUAAGGGAUGCUGAUGGCUCAACUGUUUGGGAGACGAACACUACCUCCAAAGAUGUUGAUCGAGCAGAGCUUUUGGACACUGGAAACCUUGUUCUGAAGGACCCACGGGGUAAAAUUCUAUGGCAAAGCUUUGAUUUUCCUACUGAUACUCUUCUGCCAAACCAAAUCCUUACUACAAGCACACAGCUGAUCUCUAUAAUCAGAAGAGGGGAUUUUUCCUCUGGUCACUUUUACUUCUUUUUUGAUAAUGACAAUGUCUUGAGAAUGAUGUAUAAUGGGCCUGACAUUUCAAGCUUGUAUUGGCCUAAUCCUGAUUGGAAUGUUUUCGGAAAUGGAAGAACAAACUAUAACAGUAGCAGAAUUGCUGUUUUAGAUGAAAUGGGGAGGUUUCUUUCGAGUGAUAAAAUGUCUUUCAAAGCUUCUGACAUGGGUUUUGGAGUCAAAAGGAGGCUGACAAUGGACUACGAUGGAAACCUGAGGCUCUAUAGUUUAAACCAUUCCACGGGAUUAUGGGUGAUCUCAUGGAAAGCUCUUAGCGAACAGUGUAAAGUGCAUGGGUUAUGUGGUAGAAAUGGGAUUUGUAUUUAUACACCAGAACCCAAGUGUUCAUGUCCUCCGGGCUAUGAAGUAAGUGACCCAAGUGACUGGAGCAAAGGUUGCAAGUCUAAGUUCAACCAAAGCUGUUCCCAAACACAGCACGUAAAAUUUGUGGAGCUUCCCCAGACCGAUUACUAUGGGUUUGAUCUCAAUUACAGCCAAUCUGUUUCAAUGGAAGCUUGCAGGAAAAUCUGCUUGGACGAUUGCCUUUGCCAAGGAUUCGCCUACAGGCUAACAGGAGAAGGGAACUGUUACGCAAAAAGUACCCUUUUCAAUGGCUACAAGUCCUCGAACUUCCCAGGGAGUUUAUAUUUAAAACUGCCUAUGGAUGUCGAAACGUCAGCACCCACUAUUCUUAAUGGCGCUGAUCCCAUAUGCGAGUCCAAGGAAGUUGAGGUCGUGCUGAGUUCUUCUAUGUAUGACCCUGCCAAUAAAAGGAUGAGAUGGGUUUAUCUCUACUCAUUUGCUUCUGCCAUUGGUGCAAUGGAAAUUCUCUUUAUUGUGUCGAGUUGGUGGUUUCUUUUCAGGGUACAUAAUGUGACAUCUUCAGUUGAAGAUGGAUAUGGUCCGAUUUCAAGUCAGUUCAGGAGAUUUAGCUACACCGAACUCAAGAAGGCAACCAACAAUUUCAAAGUAGAGCUUGGAAGGGGAGGCUUUGGGGCUGUUUAUAAGGGUGUUUUGGAGGAUGAAAGGGUAGUAGCUGUGAAGAAAUUGGGAGAUGUCAUUCAAGGGGAAGAGGAGUUUUGGGCUGAAAUAAUCACAAUCCAAAAAAUUUAUCAUAUGAAUCUUGUCAGAAUGUGGGGAUUCUGUACAGAGGGUAGACACAGACUUGUAGUCUAUGAGCAUGUAGAAAAUCUAUCACUGGAUAAGCAUCUCUUCAGUACGACUUUUCUGGGAUGGAACGAGAGGUUUAACGUUGCAGUGGGGACAGCAAGGGGUUUAGCCUACCUUCACCAUGGGUGUCUAGAAUGGGUUAUCCAUUGUGACGUGAAGCCUGAAAAUAUACUUCUAGACAAUGGGUUUGAACCAAAGAUUGCAGAUUUUGGGCUAGCAAAGCUGUCUCAGAGAGAUGGCCCCGGUUCCAAAGAAUUCUCUCAGAUUCGGGGGACUAAAGGAUAAAUGGCUCCGGAGUGGGCGAUGAAUCUUCCAAUUACGGCAAAAGUUGAUGUUUAUAGCUAUGGAGUUGUGGUUCUAGAGAUGGUGAGGGGAAUUCGGCUUUCAAAUUGGGUGGUUGGGGAUGGUGAGGAGCAGGAAGCUGAGAUGACGAGGUUUGUCAGGCUAGUGAAACGGAAAAUUGAAUGUGGAGAAGACAAUUGGGUAGAGGAUACAGUGGACCCAAGAUUGAAGGGUAAGUUUAGCAGGCACCAGGCAGCAAAGUUGAUCGAAAUAGGUAUUUCUUGUGUAGAGGAAGAUGGAAGUAAAAGACCUACAAUGGCCACCGUAGUCCAAGUUCUCCUGGAAUGUGAAAAUGAAGCCCAAGUCCAAACCCUGGACUGGGAUUAAAUGUCCUAGGUUAUGGGUUGUCAUUGGUUUUUCUUGUUUUCUUUUUGUAUGUCUUUCUCCGUAGCCACUUCUCUGGAACUACAUCAAUUUGGAAUCGUCCAAAUUCAUGAUCCUGUGUAGCAUAAGACAUUCACCUCCCAUAAAAUAAUAGAAAUUCACAGCAUGCAGAUACUAUGAUUUUUUUUUUCUCCCCAAAAAGAAAGACAAAAGAAAAAAAGACAGAAGUCUGUAAAAAGCAGAUGAACAAACUUGAAUUUUAUUUUUAGGACUCAAGUCAAGGGUGACUAGAUGAAUUGGUGGAUGUAGAUUCUGAUUUCCUUUCAUUUGUUUUAUUUAUAGCAGUUUCAUUUCCUUGUUCAGUCAGUAAUUUUCUUUUUCCCCUCACUUGAAGUAAUUGUUUUGAUAAUUUUGUUCCCUUCCCCCCACCUUCUUCAAAUUGGGUGUAUAAUUGAAAUGGAAGUUGGCUUAUAUUUACUGGUAAUGCUUGUGAUAUCCUUUUUCUCACCUUUUUCUUAGAAAUGAAGAAUGAGGAAAUAUGGGUGCUACAUGUUUCGCUUGUUGAGAACUGCCAUUGUCACAUAGAUUUCCUAUUGAUUAACAUGUAAUCCUUGUAUGAUUUUUGUUCCAAGGAAAUUAGUUGGUAAAAAGCUUCAGUCAAACUUUAAUUGUGUGACAUUGUAGGAAUCUUUGUCCUAGAUCUUGAAUGCCUUCUUUUUGUAUGAUAUUAGAUAUCAUGCAUCCACAAGUUCUUCUCACUUGUUCAAUUUUUUAUGAUGUGCGGUUUUUAACAUAUGGUGUUCUUAGAUGUCUGGAUCCUAGUAAGCUUUACUUGUGUGAGCUUAUCCUUGUAAAGUGGAAAAGUUAUCCUACUGAUGCAGUGUUGUUAGAUAUUCUAAUAGCUUUACUUGUAUGAGCUCAUCCUUGCAAGCUUGAAGGUUAUCUUGUUCAGGGACAUGGUCCUUGCUCUUCUUCUAGAACUUUUUAUUCCGUUCUUUUCAUUUAUUUAUUUAUUUUUGGUGUGUGUGGAUAGCCUUACUAUUAUAGCACGUGUGUUAUUUUUCCAUGGGCUAUAUUACAAUUUAUCUCUCGUAGUUUCUUCCCUUAUUUUUAGGAAGCAUACUUAUGUACGUCUGAAUUCUUAUUUGGAAGCGUCUUGGUACUUUGACUGUUUAAGUCUUAAGAAGUUGAUAUCCAAGUGUAGCUAUAUAUUGUUACUUAGAGGAUCUGCAGAUUUAAGUAGGUUUAGAUCUGAUAAAACUAUAUACCAGCACUCAUGUCCCCAUUGUUUGCAAUAUGGAGCUAUGCUGAACUGUGAAAUGAGUAGCUACUGUUACCAACUUGAGGCUUGGGUCAAAGGAAGAAAAAGAGGUUGAUAGGAUAUGUUGAACUGUGAAUUUAAUUAACUCGUGUUCAUCAUUUGAUAUCAUGAUUCUGAAUUGUUGAUCGGAUGGACCAAAUGCAUUUGGUGUGGUACUUGUUUUAAUUGGACCUGGUAACAUUGAUCAGGUCCUGGUUUUUUUUUUCUUCUUCUUUUUUUUUUUUUUUCCAGCAAUGUUUGCUUUUUGAAACACCAAUUUUCUCAUCAUGAUUGUAGGAAGUACAGAGAUGCCAGAUGCAAUGGAGAUGAUAUUUCAGUCUGCCCUUGCUUUGGGUAGAAACGGGGCCGCGAGUUAUUUGUUUUCCCUGAAAUUUCUUGCACUUACAUCAUAUCGUGCUUUUCCAUGUCUAAUUUUUAGUACCACACUCAAUUGAGCUAAUUGACAGUAAGUUUCUUGCUUUUGCUUUGCAUUACAUUUUAGUAUGCAAAAUAAAAGGAAAAAAAAAGAAAAAAGAAAAAGAAGAGUGGACUCUUCUAGAAUUACCAGAAAACAAAAAAUAAGCAUGGGUUGUUGUUUGUUUGUGGAGUUAUUUUAGUUUUUGACGUCAUGCUCCUCAAGCAACAUCUUAUAAGACGAUUUUUAGUAUUAGGUCCAACAUGAACUAGUGCAAGUGUGAAGAUUGCAUUUUCUCAUGUCUCAGACUCUCCAGUAGAGGGAAUCAUACUCUCUCCAUUUGACUUGACAUGUGAUAUGCUGGAAACCUGAAACAUGGCCUUGGUUUGGCUGGUGUCAUUUUUCACUACUCAAGAGAUUUCUUGCCCAUAUGCUAAAGACUUUUAUAAGUAGUCUAUAUAACUAACUGCCCUUGGCAAAAACUCAGCGUGUCUAUAACUAAAGAUGUACGUUAGCAAUAGCAUUAUAUGGAUAUGGCUUUGUGGUUCAACACGAAUACAAUGACACUUUCCUGGAGAAUACCUGAAUAAGAUGAAUAACAACAAAUGUCACAUGAAAGCAAAUUGGUCGUGCCAAUUAAGAAUUUCUGUUUCAUACAUGUCAGCAAGUUGAUGAGCUAAUGGGUGAUGUGGAAAGCGCAGUGUCCUUGUAUUCAAAGGCGGUGCACUUGUUAGUGUUCCUUCUAGUGGAAGCACCAUCCCUCAUUCUCAACCCUCCCUUCUUCUUACAAACUCAGACCAGUAUAGGCUUCGAACUUACAUUGAUAUCCUUAAUAGGCAAGAGUCCACUCAAGGUCUCAAAGGAUGAAUCUUCUUAAGUGCGAGGAUCAACAAUGCCCCCCUUAAAAGCUAGUGUAACUUUUAAAUAUCCAAGGUGCCAUGACUUCCAUAUAAAAUCAUUUAUUUGUAAAGAUGUUCUUUGAGUGACUGUGAUCCCUUAUUUGGGACUCAAAUCAUGAUUCUAUAAUUUAAAGACUGAUGAAAUGUGCAUUUUUUUCCCAUCUCUGUCCAUUUGGAUGUGCAUUUUCUGACCAGGUGUCUAUUCAGGGGUCAUUGCCUAAAAAGCCAAUCUGGACGGUUCUGUUAGAUGAAUGGACUAGUGACUUCAAAUGCAAAUUUUGGAGCCACUAAAAACUCCUAACGGAUGGGCUUGUGAUUUCAAAUGCCAUCGAACAUGUAUUUUUUAUUUUUUAUUUUCAGGCCUGGAGAUACAAUGCUGUUUAUGGGACACCAGAUCUACUUUAAGGUCUUGCUUGAUUUAUGGGAAGAAAAUGUGCGGAAAAUUAUUUUCCUUAUAACUGGUGAGGUAGAUGAGUGCAGCUUGUGUCUAAGCAGCUUCCAUUGAAUAUUUGAGGAAAAUUCUCCUAUGAAUAAUUAGCAUCUUAUUCAAAACUUAUGAGGAGGGUUCCAAUCAGUAAAGAGUCCUGCAAAGGCUUGAUUAUCUUAGCAUGAGUCAUCAUCCCAUGACCAAGAGCGAAUACAGAAAUGUUAGGCAUGCCGCAUACGAAGGCGCCAAUCAUUUUAUCAGCCUAUCACAAUAUGCAUUAUGUAUUCCAAUUAUAUUCAAAAUUUCACCACCCGUAAAUAGGGCAGCAUAUUUCAAAACACCUACCGUAUCUUCCAAUGUUUUAAAGAGUGUCACAAGUUUCUCUAAAUCUUCCUCAUUCUUAGCUGGCAAAUGUGGACACCUUCCUUCAGGAAGAAUACAAUAUCAAUGGAUCUCCUUUAACUACUUGAUGAAAAUCAUUUCCUGCCAUUUCACAAUUGGGUCUUAUCGGAUGAGGUUACUAGAAUGAAUGGAACUUGGUGGGUCGGAGUCCACAUUGAUGAAUGGUGAAAUGGUGCCCAGUAAAAAGGCAAAUAACACAAGAUUGAGAAGACGAAAGCAUGUCUUUUUUCAUUAUAACUUCAAAGGGAAGAUUCAUGGUGGUGAUCAAAAUGAAAUCUCCAAAUAAAGAUGGCUAGUUAUACUCUAACUCUGCUGGUUUGGAAAUCCAAGAUCUACCUUGUCGAGAAUGAUCAAAUUUUAGGGGUGUUAUCAAUAUUGUCCCCUAAGCUAAUGACCAAUUCAAGGCAUUGAAAUAUAAUUAAAAAAAUGCAACAAGUAGGAGUGGAUAUUAAAAAGAAGGGAGUCUUAUGUCAUAAGACGCUUCAAAUGACCCUCCCUAUGGGCUUAUAUAGGAAAUAGGAAGCUUUUAAAGACCCCAAGAGACAUCUACACUUAGCUACAAAGUGGAAGAGUAUGGAAGUUUUUAGAGAGGGUUAGAGAUGUCUACACAUCUCUACACUUGACUAGGAGAGCAUUGGAAUAGUGUGGAAUGUUCUAAAUUCUUCCAAAGGCAUCUUGUACAUAACCUUAUACAUAGACUAGUGUAGGAGCUUCUAGAUUAUUCUUGAUCUGUAAGGAAACCUCUAAGGUUCUACAUACUUCCUGAGGUGUCUAUAAAUAGGUUAAGGCCUCAUUUGGCCAAGACACCACCCAAAUCACUUUCUAACCAAGCAAGUGAGCUUUCAAAGCACUUGUAAAACAUCAUUUGAGAGCAAUAGAAGCUUCCAUUCUUUAAGAGUUGCCUAUUUCGCCUUCUAAAGCUUCCAAUUCGUGAGUAGUAAGCUAAGUACUAGGAGUAAGGUUGACAUAGCAAGAUCACAAGUCUUGGUUUGUCUAAGUGUCACAUGAGCUUAGGAAAAUAUUAAUUCUAUGAUAGUUGGUAUUAGAGUAUGGUUGCAAAGCAGGCAUUGUGAAGGAAGCAUAUUGGGGUCCAAUGUUGAUGACACUAGUGAGCAAACUCGUGGAAGGAAAACCGAGCCUAUUGUACGGGGUAGGGGUAGGAAGGAUAAGUCUCAUGAUGUCGUUGUCAACAUAGAGGCAAGGGCUAGCCAAAAUGGAGCUAGCCAUGGCGGACUCUCGGGAGGGGUUGGACUUGAUUGAGCAAGGCAUGGAGAAGGGCAUGGAAGAUCUUAGGGAAUAGAUCCAAGACCUUCGUGAGGAGAUGCUAGUCUCAUAGGUUCAACUAGUGUCACACGAGGAGUUUGUGUCCUUCGAAAAGAAGGUCAUGAGUGUGCUUACUAGCAUGGAGUCAAAGAUGGAGGCUUUGGCUACCAUAGAGUCCCGAGACCAAGGGGUUAGGCAAUAGUUGGCUAUCUAUAAGGUCGUUGUGUCAGCGCUAGUCAUGGCCAUAUGGGAGGCAUCUAGGAUAGAGAUACUGAAGCCACAAGGGUUUAGUGGCAAGUAGGAUGCCAAAGAGUUAGACAACUUCUUAUGGCAUAUGGAGCAAUACUUCGAGACUAUCGCACUAACUGAUGACGGCUAAGGUAAGGACUAUGAUCCUCUACCUUACUAACAUAGCUACUCUAUGGUGGCGUCAAAAGUUCACCGAUAUGGAGAAAGACAUUUGCAUCAUAGAAACAUGGGAGGACUUUAAAAGGGAAAUCAAAAGGUAGUUCUACCUCGAGGACGUGGCCUACCUAGCUAGGAAAAACAUGAGACGUCUUAAGCACACAAACUCGAUUUGUCUCUAUGUCAAGGAGUUCUCUUCGCUCAUGCUUGAGAUUCCUAAUAUGACUGAGGAGUUGUUAUUCAACUUCAUGGAUAACCUACAAAGGGGGGCCAAGCAGGAAUUAAGGCAUUGAGGUGUUCAAGACUUAAUCACUGUUAUGGCAGUAGUAGAGUUUUUAACGGAUUACAAGAGGAAAGACUCCUCCAAGGUUGACUCUUUGGAGGAUAGCCAUGCCACUAGUGGAGAAGAUGAGGUUUCAAGGGACCACAACGCUCUUAGAAUGGGAUCAGGCAAGACACUUAACGUUAGGAAAAAAAGAGGUAAGACGAAAAAUAAGGACUUUACGCUUAAAAUCAAGUGUUUCUUGUAUGACAGUCCAUAUUGGGCACAAGAUUGUCCAAAGAGGAAGAUGCUUAGUGUCAUGAUCGAGGAGAAUGAAUAAGAAAAUGAGGCACAUAUGGGUUCGAUGCAACUACUAGGUACCUUCCAAGUCAACCCAAAGCGUAGUACGCUUAAGACCUUCUUACUAUUAAGGGUGCAAGUAAAGGAGGCAAAAUGGGAGCAAACUAAAGUAGCCCGUACACACAUGGACAAGGUCACCAAGGGAGAGGUGAACUUAAUGGGCAAAAGAAAACAACACUCUAAGCAUCGAAAGUGUAGGUGUCUGCAUCCAUCCAAGGCCUCAUAGGAAAAGGAGGUGAAAAAUAUCCUGGCUGAGUAAGUCACCAGGAGACAAGGGGUCCUUUUUGUGAUAGAGUAUCUAGUCCAAUGGAAAUGUCUACCUAAGAGGCAAGCAAGUUGGGAACAUGUGGAUGCCUUGAGAAAGUUUUGGAAACACAUCAAGAGAUUUCAAGAAGAGGCAACGACAGGGACAUCAAUGGUAUGGGUGAGGGAAAGUAUCACAAGAUGCUUCAAAUACCCCUCCCCAUGGGCUUAUAUAGGAGAUAGGAAGCUUUUAGAGACUCUUGGAGACAUCGACACUUAGCUACAAAGUGGAAGAGUAUGAAAACUUUUAGAGAGAGUUAGAGAUGUCCACGUAUCUCUACACUUGGCUAGGAGAGCAUUGGAGUAGUGCGAGGUGUUCUAGAGUCUUCCAAAGGCAUCUUGUACAUAGUCUUAUACAUAGACUAGUGUAGGAGCUUCUAGAUUUUUCUUGAUUUGUAAGGAACCCUCCAAGGUUCUAGAGACUUCCUAAGGUGCCUAUAAAUAGGUUAAGGCCUCAUUUGGCCAAGACACCACCCAAAUCACUUCCUAAUCAAACAAGUGAGCUUCCAAAGUAUUUGUAAAACAUCAUUUGAGAGCAAUAAAAGUUUCAAUUCUUCAAGAGUUGCCUACUAUGCCUUCUAAAGCUUCCAAGUCGUGAGUAUCUUAGCCUAGUAAGUUAAGCAUCAGGAGUAAGGUUGACUUAGCAAGAUCACGGGUCUUGACUUGUCUAAGUAUCAUAUGAGCUUAGGAAAAUACUAAGUCCAUGACAUUUAGCUUCAUUGUCGACAAGUCUUUAGUGUAUCUUCGUCUAUAGCUUACAUCAAACAAGGACAGGUCAUGAAUUCAUUUGUAGCUUUCGUCAUAUAACAAGAGUUGUUGACAUAUAAUCAGUGGGUAUACCAAUGACCAGUAUCAUUGCUAAUGAGUCUUUCACGGGCCAUCGUACAUGGCUAGCUUACAUAAGAUAAAGAACCAUCAUGAUUCAUGUGUAGCUUAUACGAGAUUGGGAGAGGUCUUCACUUAAGAGAACUUGUUGUUCAAGGCAUUAUUUCUGGGGUGACGGUCAAGUUUCUCAACAUUCAGACUUUCCCGCAACGUAACGUACAUGCACGGUGCGCCCAAAUUCAACAAAGGGCACCUUUAGAUGUGACCAUUUCUACAGUUAAAUUGGAUAAAUAUCUAUCAUCUCCCUAAGGUUUCUCAAAAAUUUAUCUCCCUUAAAAAAUCUUGGGGCAUCUCUAUUCUUUGGUUUACAGUUUGUUUGAAAAGCUGAUCAAGGUAGUGGAUAAACUUAAUUCGUGCCAUGUCUUCCCUCCUUUCGUAUGUGAACUAAUGGAUAUAAAACUAACAUUUUCUUAACCAAAGAUACAUUGUGAAGCUACAAAACUCGAACGACCAGGAGAAUGGUCUCUCUCAAAAGUCAAAACCUAAGGGUGCAAAGAAUUCUCCCCACCUUCGGGGCAAGGACAUUCAACAUCCACUCAAAUGAAGACCUAAUGCUGAAGAAAGGAAGUCAAGUCUCUUUGGCACCAUGCACGAUAAAGCUGAAAAAUGGCAGAAAAGUCGUGGUUCCUGCUGCCCUGUUGCAAAAGGCCUACUCCUUCGUGCUCCUUCCCGUGAAGAGUGGCUAUAAAAAGAAACAUAAGCAACAAAAUGGGAUCUCCUCCUCAACGAAAUCACUCUCUCCAUCUACAAGAAAACGGUAAAAAAUUCAUCUUUGUAUCCAGAAAAUGAUGAAAUAAAAUCCUCCAUUUUUCCUGAAGAAUUUUAGCUACUUCACAUAGCUAGACAAAACUAGGAAAGACAUGGGAAACCUUAGUCCUACAUCUCAAAAGUUUCCUUCCAUUCUUCUUAUCCUUCUCAUAUUUCUCAUCUCCUUCUUCCCUUUUGCAACUUCCAACACCCAGAACAUUUUGCAAAGAAGCUCCUUUCUAUCGGUCGAAGAUGAUUCAGACUACAUCACCUCCCCAGACAAAUCAUUCAAUUGUAGUUUCUAUGGGAUGGGGGAAAAUGCUUACUGGUUUUCAAUAUGGUUCACAAAUUCGAAGGAACGAACUGUUGUUUGGAUGGCCAAUCGAAACAGACCUGUCAAUGGCCGGGGCUCCAGAAUUUCGCUGCAGCAAGAUGGUGCCAUGAUUCUAAGGGAAUGCUGAUGGCACCCUGUUUGGGAGACGAACACUACCUCCACCGAUGUUGAUCGAGCAGAGCUUUUGGACACUGGAAACCUUGUUCUGAAGGACCCACGCGGUAAAAUUCUAUGGCAAAGCUUUCAUUUUCCAACGGAUAUUUAAUUUUCUGCCAAACCAACUCCUCACUACAAGCACAAAGCUGAUCUCUAUAGUCAGCAGAGGGGAUUUUUCCUCUGGUCACUUUCACUUCUUUUUUUUAUAAUGACAAUGUCUUGAGAAUGAUGUACGAUGGGGAUGAAGUUUCAAGCUUGUAUUGGCCUAAUCCUGAUGGGAAUGUUUUCCGAAAUGGAAGAACAAACUAUACCAGUAGUAGAAUUUAUGUUUUAGAUGAAAUGGGGAGGUUUCUUUCGAGUGAUAGAAUGUCUUUCAAAGCUUCUGACAUGGGUUUUGGAGUCAAAAGGAAGCUGACAUUGGACUACGAUGGAAACCUGAGACUCUAUAGCUUAAACCAUUCUACGGGAUUAUGGAAUAUAUCAUGGGAAGCUCUUAGCGAACAGUAUAAAGUGCACGGGCUAUGUGGUAAAAUCGGGAUUUGUAUUUAUACGCUAGAACCCAAGUGUUCAUGUCCUCCGGGCUAUGAAGUAAGUGACCCAAGUGACUGGAGCAAAGGUUGCAAGUCUAAGUUCAACCAAAGCUGUUCCCAACCACAGUAGGUAAAAUUUGUGGAGCUUCCCCAGACCGAUUACUAUGGGUUUGAUCUGAAUUAUAGCCAAUCUGUUUCACUAGAAGCUUGCAGGAAAAUCUGCUUGGAGGAUUGCCUUUGCCAAGCAUUAGCCUACAGGCUAACAGGAGAAGGGAUCUGUUACCCAAAAAGUACCCUUUUCGAUGGCUGCAAGUCCUCGAACUUCCUAGGGAGUACAUAUUUAGAACUGCCUGUAGAUGUCUAAACGUCAGCACCCACUAUUCUUAAUGGCUCUGAUAACAUAUGCAAGUCUAAGGAAGUUGAGGUCGUGCUGAGAUCUUCUUCUAUGUAUGACACUGCCAAUAAAGGGAUGAGAUGGGUUUAUCUCUACUCAUUUGUUUCCAUCAUUGGUGCAAUGGAAGUUCUCUUUAUUGUGUCGGGUUGGUGGUUUCUUUUCAGGGCACAUAAUGUGCCAUCUUCGGUUGAAGAUGGGUAUGCUCCGAUUUCAAGCUAUUUCAGGAGAUUUAGCUACACCGAACUUAAGAAGGCAACCGACAAUUUCAAAGUAGAGCUUGUAAGAAGAGGCUUUGGGGCUGUUUAUAAGGGUGUUUUGGAGGAUGAAAGGGUAGUAGCUGUGAAGAAAUUGGGAGAUGUCAUUCAAGGGGAAGAGGAGUUUUGGGCUGAAAUAAGCACUAUCCGAAAAAUGAGUUUUGACCCAAGAUAUUAAAAAAAAAAAAAUUCAUAAAAUAAACUUUGUUUCCGAAAUAAUACCUAAUUUAGUGUGUCUAUGACACGUGUUUUAAUAAAACUAAACAAAAAUAUUUUUAUAUCAAAUUAAAAAUAUCAAUGAUUUAAUUUCAUAUAUUAUUAUGUUUUAAAUUAAUAAGAUAAGUUUAUUAGCCACUCACAUAUUUUUAAUAAAUAUAAAAUCAAAAUAAUAUAAUAUUUUUAUUUAAAAAAAUUAAAAUUAAAUUCAUAGUGACUAUGACUUUGACAAUUUUAAAAUAAAUUUAAAGCAAUAGUUAUCAACUACGGUAUUAUGAUGUGGAGGCAUACGUAAUAUAAGCACACUAGAUUUAGUAUUAUUUUGGAAACAAGUUUAGUUUAUGGAUUUUUUAUUUUUAUUAAUAUCCUAAAACUGCCGAAAAAAUUAUCAUAUGAACCUUGUUAGAAUGUGGGGAUUCUGUUCAGAGGGUAGACACAGACUUGUAGUCUAUCAACAUGUAGAAAAUCUGUCACUGGAUAAGCAUCUCUUCAGCACGACUUUUCUGGGAUGGAAAUAGAGGUUUAACGUUGCAGUGGGGACAACACGGGGUUUAGCCUACCUUCAGCAGGAGUAUCUAGAAUGGGUUAUCCAUUGUGACGUGAGGCCUGAAAAUAUACUACUAGACAAUGGGUUUGAACCAAAAAUUGAAGAUUUUGGGCUAGUAAAGCUGUCCCGAAGAGGUGGCCUUGGUUCAGGAGAAUUCUCUCGGGUUCCGGGGACUAAAGGGUACAUGGCUCCAGAGUGGGCUAUGAAUCUUCCAAUUACGGCAAAAGUUGAUGCUUAUAGCUAUGGAGUUGCGGUUCUAGAGAUGGUGAGGGGAAUUUGGCUUUCAAACUGGGUGGGUGGGGAUGGUGAGGAGCAGGAAGCUGAGCUGACGAGGUUUGCCAGGCUAGUGAAACGGAAAAUUCAAUGUGGAGAAGACAAUUGGAUAGAGGAUACAUUGGACCCAAGAUCGAAGGGGAAGUUUAGCAGGCAGCAGGCAAUCGAAAUAGGUAUUUCUUGUGUGGAGGAAGAGAGAAGUAAAAGACCAACAAUGGCCACCGUAGUCCAAGUUCUACUGGAAUGUGAAGAUGAAGCCCAAGUAGACUUGGAGUAAAUGUCUUUUUUUUAUCUAUCGGCCUGUAUCUCUUGAACAAAUUACAUAGCUGUCAUCAGUUUUGGCUUUGUAGAGGGCAUUUGUCUAUUUAAUCCUAUAAUUCUCGUGAGAUACAUAAAAAGUAUUUAAUCCUACAAUCCUCAUGAGAUACAUAAAAAGUAUUUGUAAUAUCUCAUAUCAAAUAGAAAAGAAAGUUUUCUAUACUAUAAAAAUAUAGAUUUCUCUUUUAACUAUGUAGAUGCAUUUUAAAAUUAUGGAACCUUUUUGAAAUAGGCUUGAAGUAUCAUAUUAAAAUAAUUUAUUGGCUUUAAAUCUUUUUUUUUUUUCACUUUUUAUUUCUUAUAUUUUUCUCCUCUAUUUUCUUUCUCUUACAUUGUAUCUUAUAUUUUCAGGAAAAAAAAAUAUAGCCUAAAUAUUCCAAAUUAAAAUACAAAAUCAUGAACCGCAUUACUCUAGUAUGAAUAGUUAUAUCUGUGAAAUCAAGGUUUGGUUAAUCUUGAUUUUGAUGAUAACAAAACAAGGUUUAGAACUAAUGAUCAUAUUUCAAGUGUGAUUAGACAAGAUGAUUUCCAAAUUGGGAAUCACAAAGACAAAUCAAGCCAAAGAGAAAUCAUGAAAAAGAAGACCACCUCAAAGAGAAGUGUUUUUCAAAGACCCAAACUUCAUAAAAUCUCUUUGUAAGGUUGUUGAUGCACUAGGAUUUUCAUGCAUUACAUUUUUUACUUAUGCACCAAAAUCAUCUAAGAGUUAUUUUGUUUUUAAAUAUUUUAAGAAUUAGAUGAUUUCAUGUUUUCAACUAAAGCUUUGUGUUAAAUGUCUUUCAAACUUGUUUUAAAAGGUUUUAAGUUGAAAAAGUUGGUUGUUGAGCCAAAAAAACGGCUCAACCGGUCGAGAUCCGGGUCGACCCCCAACUCAACCGGUCGAGGGUGUAAAAAAAUUUCUCUUUCUUCCAGAAGGGUUGUUCAACCGGUUGAAGUCUGGUUGAUGCCCAACGGUCACCUAUCAAGCAUUAAAUGCUAAUGGCUAGUCAACCGGUCGACCCCUAGCUCGACCGAUCGAACCCCCAACGGCUAGUUUGACUUUUUUUCUUCUAUAAAAAGACUUCAAUCUUCAUUGUUUCAUGAGCUUAACCUUCCUAAAUCUUUUUUGAAUAUAUUUGAGCCUUGGAAGAGUAUUUUUUAGUUCACCAUUAUUUCAAAACUUGCAUAUCUUUAGUGCAUCAUUCAAUCUAAUUGUUCUUGUAUCAUUUGAGCUUAAAGUUCUUGUACUAGGAUUUUUGUGAGAUCUUUUGCUUGUAAAUCCUUAAAAGGAAGUUGUUCAAGAGUGUGAUAUCUCUUGAGAAGUGUAAAGGGUGUUUGGAGCCAAAAGUCCAAGAGGGUGAAUUGGAACCAUAAUCCAAUUGUAUUGUUUGAAGGCUUGGUUUGGAAGCCUUGAAUUAGUGGAACCUCAAGCUUGGGAUUGAAGCUAGAGGAGAGUGGAUGUAGGCCGGGUUGCGUCGAACCACCAUAAACUCUUGUGUUUGCUUUCUCUCUUCCCUACUCUUUAAUUUAUAUGCAAUUGUCUUAAUAUUGUUUAUCAUAUACUUGCAUAUAAUUGUCUCUUAAAUCCACUUGUGUAAAUUUGUGAAAAAAGACCAUCACCCUAUUCACCCCCCCUUUAGGGUGAUUACCAUAGGUUGGAUUAACCUAAUAUUCCUAACAAUAUAUUUAUCUAUCUUUAAGAAAUUUCAAUAAUACAAACGUAAUAUACAACAUGCUCUUUAACAUCAAUCAUUUUUGCUUUUCUUAAAAUCAAUUUUAAGGCUUAAUAUAAGGUGAAAAAUUAAUAUGUAACUUACCUAGACUUGGAUUGUGCUCGUUUUGCCAUAGUUUCACUUUUGUUAUGUUGGAUCUCAAAAAAUAUUAAAGAAAAUAUAAAAAAAAAUUAUUUUUUUUAUAUUUGAUUAUGUAUUUUUAAAAUUAUUUAAUAUUUAUAUAUAAUAAUAAUAAUAAUAAUAAUAAUAACUAAAUAGAAAAAUAAGACAAAGGAUAAAAUAUACAAUUUCUAACACAAGUCUAAAUGUGUUUUAUUGAUACAAAUGCACAACCAAUCAUCUAUCUACAUAUAUAUCUAUAUAUAUAUAUAUAAAUUUUAAUUAUUUUAUAAGGUAUUUUAUAUAAUAAUUAAAUUAAAAACAAAGGUAAAUUUAUAAGUAAAAUUAUCAAUAUUUUUAAAUAAAAAAUACUUAUGUAUCAUAUUUUUUUAUAUUGUUCAAUAUAUAUUAAUUUCUUUGUUAAAACUACUUUAAUAUAAAUAUUAUCAUUUUUUUUAAUUUUUUUAAAUAUUUUAUAUCAAUUUUCUCUUAUUAAUAUUUUUUUUAAUCAAAAUAUCCCACUCAUAUAUCAAUUGUAUUUGUACCUAGCAAAAAAUAUAAUAGAAAUAUUUUGUCCAAAAUAUUGGACAAAUGACUCAGUCGUCGAAAGAAUUUUGUCUUGUAGUUGAAGUUAAGGACAAGAAAUAUUGGACCUUGGACAGAAAUAUAACGAUUUACAGUUGUACCCAGUAAAAAUAAAUAAAUAAAUAAAGACCUGUUUAAUAAAGGGUCUUCGUCCAACGUAAUUAGACCAGACUUGAGUAGAUCAGUCUAAGUCAUCCUCCAAUGAUCAAGUCAAAAAAUGUUAGGCAUACCAAUGGGCUGGUCUGGUAGGCGCGGGUCGCAAUAUGCAUUUUCUUGCCUUAUCAUAUUCAAAAUUUCACGUGUAGUUUGAGUUUCCCACUUGCAUUUAAAAUUUCACACCUACCAAAUCUUUGUGUUUUAAGAGAUCCAACCAACCUAGUUUCUCUAAUGAAGACAAGAGAGCACCCUUGGUUUGUUAAUUGGAACCUCUUUGAGUGGGGUCUGGUCAGAUGAGACUAGAAUAAUACCAAAUGGAAGCUUUGUAGAGUCGACGGUCAAUGGUGAAGUGAUGGUGCCCAAUCAAAAGGCAAAUAAACGUUAUAACAAGAGGUCAUGACUCAUCACUCAUAAACUGGUAUAUCAAUGAGACAAUGACGCUAGCAAGUUUUCCGCGGGUCUUCCGUCGUCCCUAGCUUAAAAUAAGGUAAUAAGAUAAAAGAGUCGUCAUGUCUAUUAUAUAUAUUGGGUAAGGAGACGUGGUGUAAGGCAUAUUUCUGCAACUUGCUUCUUUAAAAAUUAAAAAUCCAUGCGAGUGUGUCCAAAUUUGGCAAGUGGGGUGGCGACUAGGUGGAGUCACAACGGUCAUUAUAUUCCAAACCCCAAUUAUUUAUUCUCAUGCUCGCCCACCAGUUCUUGUUUUUCUCUCUCUUCUUUUUUUAAAAAAAUCUUAAUUAUAUUUAAAAUAAAUAUAAUUUGUAUGUAAAUAAAUAUUAUAACUUUUUAUGAUUUAUUUUUAUAAGAUAUAUUUUCAUUUUAUAUUUGUUAAAAACUAAAAAAUAUUUUUUAUUUAAUUAUAUAUAUAUAAAUUGGAUGAGACAAUACAAUAUCUCAAUUACCCCCAUCAAAAUAAGAAAAUUCAAAUCUAUCACCAAUUUUAUAUGUCUUAUCCCAAACUCAUCUAAUGUCACCUAAAGUACGUGUAUCCGCGAAAACAUGUUUCAGGUCCAUUCCUAAUUGAGACAUCUUUUUUGACGGUUUGUUCACCUCAAAGCUCAAUGCCUGACAACCAAGUGACCAACCAAGCACGUCUUCUCGAAGAAAGGACCAAGCAUUUUCUGAGAACAGCUCAAGAUGGUGAGUUUAAGACCAAAAUAAUCUAUUUAUAAAAAAAAAUUGACAAGAAUAGUACCCAUCUCAAAAUAUUUAUCAAAGUAAUAUUUUGUAUUCACAUUUAUAUGAAUUUUUUUUUUAAGUGUAAAAAAUCACCGUUGAUAACUGUGGUUUUAAAAGUUUCAAAAAUAUCAUUAAAACUACAGUUUGUGACUGUGGUUUUACAAUUUCCUUAAAACCAUAAUUACUAAUUAUGAUUUCAAAAUUAUUUUUAACCCACCCCCGUUUGAAUGGUACUAUGAUUUUUAAAAUAUUCUUUAUCAUAAUAAUUAUAAAACUUUCACACUUUACCAAAAUUUCUUAACAAUGUACCAAAUUUUCUUAAAGUUCGUUUCGGAGUGGAGAAAUCUUUAUACAAUUUUCCAUUAUCAGUUUAAAACUAUUUUUCUUUUACAAAUUAUCCUUAAUAAAUUUUUUUUUACGACUGUUUUAAAAUUAUAUAUAUAUAUAUAUAUAUAUAUAUAUAUUUAUUUAUUUAUUUUUUAUAUUUUCCUUGAAAUUUUGAGAAAAUAAUUUUGCCUACAUGCAUUCCUAUAAAAAUUUAUAUAUUUAUGGUAAAUAAAAUAUUUAUUUUUUUUAUGAAUUUUAUCACAUAUGAAUUAAAGAAAAUUAUUUUUUCAUAUUAUUUUUAAAUUUUAAAAUAAUUAAACAAAUUGUUUAUAUUAUUUAAAAUUUUACAUUUUCAUAUAAAAAAUAAUGUCAAUGAUUAUGAUUUUAGGUUAUUCCUUAAUAAUUGUGGUUUACUAGUUAUUAUGAUAAAAAAUAUUUUACCAUUAAAAUGGAGGUGGAUUAAAAAUAAUUUUGAAACCACAGUUACUAACUGUGGUUUUAAGAAAAAUUGUAAAACCACAAUCGCAAAUUGUGGUUUUAAGUAUAUUUUUUAAACUUUUAAAAUCAUAGUUAUCAAUAGUGGUUUUUUAUACUUAAAAAAAAAUCAUGUGGAUGCUCACGUGCAUACAAAAGAUUACUUUGACAAAUAUUUUCUUAAUGAUGCCUUGGUUGGUAUAAUAAUGCCUUCCUCCUUAAUUUCCUACGUGAAGUAGCGGAUAUAAAACCAACAUUUUCUUAACCAACCAAAGAUGCAUUUCUGAACCAAACUUGGAAAGACAUGGGAAACCUAUUUUCCUCCAUUCUUCUCAUCCUUCUUAUCUCUUUCUUCUUCUCUUUUACAACUUCCAAAACCCAGAACUUUUUGCAAAGAGGCUCCUCUCUCUCUGUCGAAGAUGAUUCGGACGACUACAUCACCUCUCCAGACAAAUCAUUCACUUGUGGUUUCUAUGGGAUGGGGGAAAAUGCUUACUGGUUUUCAAUAUGGUUCACAAAUUCAAAGGAAAGAACUGUUGUUUGGAUGGCCAAUCGAAAUAGACCUGUCAAUGGCCGGGGCUCCAGAAUUUCGCUGCAGAGAGAUGGCACCAUGAUGCUAAGGGAUGCUGAUGGCUCAACUGUUUGGGAGACUAACACUACCUCUACCGAUGUUGAUCGAGCAGAGCUUUUGGACACUGGAAACCUUGUUCUCAAGGACCCACGAGGUAAAAUUCUGUGGCAAAGCUUUGAUUUUCCAACUGAUACUCUUCUGCCAAACCAAAUCUUUACCACGAGCACAAAGCUGAUCUCUAUACUCAGAAAAGGGGAUUUUUCUUCUGGUUACUUUAACUUCCUUUUUGACAAUGACAAUGUCUUGAGAAUGAUGUAUGAUGGGCCUGAGAUUUCAAGCUUGUAUUGGCCUAAUCCUGAUUGGGAUGUUUUCCAAAAUGGAAGAACAAACUAUAACAGUAGCAGAAUUGCUGUUUUAGAUGAAAUGGGGAGGUUUCUUUCGAGUGAUAGAAUGUCUUUCAAAGCUUCUGACAUGGGUUUUGGAGUCAAAAGGAGGCUGACAAUGGACUACGAUGGAAACCUGAGACUCUAUAGCUUAAACCAUUCCACGGGAUUAUGGAAUAUAUCAUGGGAAGCUCUUAGGCAACAGUGUAAAGUGCAUGGGCUAUGUGGUAGAAAUGGGAUUUGUAUUUAUACACCAGAACCCAAGUGUUCAUGUCCUCCGGGCUAUGAAGUAACUGACCCAAGUGACUGGAGCAAAGGUUGCAAGUCUAAGUUCAACCAAAGCUGUUCCCAAACACAGCAGGUAAAAUUUGUGGAGCUUCCCCAGACCGAUUACUAUGGGUUUGAUCUCAAUUACAGCCAAUCUGUUUCAAUGGAAGCUUGCAGGAAAAUCUGCUUGGACGAUUGCCUUUGCCAAGGAUUCGUCUACAGGCUAACAGGAGAAGGGAACUGUUUCGCGAAAAGUACCCUCUUCAAUGGCUUCAAGUCCUCCAACUUCCCUGGGAGUUUAUAUUUAAAACUGCCUGUGGAUGUCGAAACGUCAGCACCCACUGUCCUUAAUGGUUCUGAUCUCAUAUGCGAGUCCAAGGAGGUUGAGGUUGUGCACAGUUCUUCUGUGUAUGACACUGCCAGUAAAAAGAUGAGAUGGGUUUAUCUCUACUCAUUUGCUUCUGCCAUUGGUGCCAUAGAAGUUCUCUUUAUUGUGUCAGGUUGGUGGUUUCUUUUCAGGGUACAUAAUGUGCCAUCUUCAGCUGAAGAUGGAUAUGGUCCGAUAUCAAGCCCGUUCAGGAGAUUUAGCUACACCGAACUCAAGAAGGCAACCAACAAUUUCAAAGUGGAGCUUGGAAGAGGAGGCUUUGGGGCUGUUUAUAAGGGUGUUUUGGAGGAUGAAAGGGCAGUAGCAGUGAAGAAAUUGGGAGAUGCCACUCAAGGGGAAGGGGAGUUUUGGGCUGAAGUAAGCACAAUCGGAAAAAUCUAUCACAUGAACCUAGUCAGAAUGUGGGGAUUCUGUUCAGAGGGUAGACACAGACUUGUAGUCUACGAGCAUGUAGAAAAUCUGUCACUGGAUAAGCAUCUCUUCAGCACGAGUUGUCUGGGAUGGAAAGAGAGGUUUAACGUUGCAGUGGGGACAGCGAGGGGUUUAGCCUACCUUCACCAUGAGUGUCUAGAAUGGGUUAUCCACUGUGACGUGAAGCCUGAAAAUAUACUUCUAGACAACGGGUUUGAACCAAAGAUUGCAGAUUUUGGGCUAGCCAAGCUGUCUCAGAGAGGUGGCCCCGGUUCAGGAGAAUUCUCUCGGAUUCGGGGGACUAAAGGGUACAUGGCUCCAGAGUGGGCUAUGAAUCUUCCAAUUACGGCAAAAGUUGAUGUUUAUAGCUAUGGAGUUGUGGUUUUAGAGAUGGUGAGGGGAAUUCGGCUUUCGAAAUGGGUGGGUGAGGAUGGCGAGGAGCAGGAAGCUGAGCUGACGAGGUUUGUCAGGGCAGUGAAAAGGAAAAUUCAAUAUGGCGAAGACAAUUGGGUAGAGGAUACAGUGGACCCAAGAUUGAAGGGGAAGUUUAGCAGGCAGCAGGCUGCCAUGUUGGUCGAAAUAGGUAUUUCUUGUGUGGAGGAAGAUAGAAGUAAACGACCAACAAUGGCCACCGUAGUGCAAGUUCUACUGGAAUGUGAAGAUGAAGCCCAAGUCCAAACCCUGGACUUGGAGUAAAUCUCCUUUUUUUUAUUUACUGAAUAAGUUAUGGGGCCUGUAUCUCCUGAACAAAUUAGAUAGUUGUCAUUGGUUUUUCUUGUUUUCCUUUUGUAUGGGGUCUGUAGCCACUACAUCAAUUUGGAAUCUUACAAGUUCAUGGUCUUGGGUAGCAUAAAAUAUUCACCUCCCAUAUAAUAAUAGAAGUACACAGAAUGCAGAUAAUAAGAUUUUUUUUUUUUCUCCCAAAAAGAAAAGAAAAAAAGAAAAAAAAAAGAGACAGAAGUCUGUAAAAUAGUAUUGGGUGAAAAGAAAUUUAGGCCCAGAAUUUAACAGUUUCAUGCAAUCACAGAAAAGGUCCUAUCAAUGAAACUGAAAGCAUCACAAAAUCCUGUUGAAUUAAAACCUAACUUCAGCCAGCAAAAUGCCUAAGAAUUAAGGACACAUAAAAAACAGAAAAUUCAAGUGGCCUGGAGCGAUGGAAAUGGUAGUAAAGGUGCAGUCAUUACUGAAUCAAUAAAAAAGAAAAAAAUAGUUUUAAUUCCAAAUUCAUACAUAAAGUUUUGGUAACAGUUUGUUUGAUGAAAUUGAAAAUUAAGUAGAGAGAAAUAUAUUGCAUCAUGCUAAUAUAAAAUGCCUACUUACAUAAUUUGUGUACUAAAACUGUUGGAUGAGGCCCAAUUGAAAAUUUAUGAUUUCUGGAAUGUUGUAAAGACCAUAACUUGUCAGUAACUAAUAAAGGACAACCAUAUAAGUAAAUAACAAAAAUUGUUUAUGCCAACUAUUCUUGCUUGGAUAAUCUGGAGCUGAGAACCAUUAUUUAUGGCGUUAUUUUAGUUUUUGACGUCAUGCUCCUCAAGCAACAUCUUAUAUGACUAUUUUUAAUUUUUUAGGAUAAGGUCCAACAUAAACUAGUGCAAGUGUGAAGAUUGCAUUUUGUUAUGCCUCAGACACUCUGAAGUAGAGGGAAUCACACUCUCCAUUUGACUUGACAUGUGAUAUGCUGGAAACCUAAAACAUGGCCUUGGUUAGGCUGGUGUCAUUUUUCACUACUCAAAAGGUUCCUUGCCCACAUGCUCAAGAGUUAUAUGUAUAGUCUAUAUAACUAACUGACACUUGUGAUUCAACACAAAUGCAAUGACACUUUCCUUGAGAAUACCUGAAAUAAGAUGAAUAACAACAAAUGUCACACCAAAGCAAAUAGGUCGUGCCAAUCAAGAAUUCUGUUUCAUAAUUGUCUGCAGGUUGAUGCGCUCAUGGGUGAUGUGGAAAGGGAAGUAUCCUUGACCAGUGUGAUCCCUUGAGACUCAAAUCAUGAUUCUAUAAUUUAAAGAAUGAUGAAAUGUGUUUUUUUUUUUUUUUGAGUAAAUUAUGUAAAAGUGCAUUAAAAAAAUAUAAUUUUUUUUCAAAAGUAAUCCAAUAAACAUGCAUUCAAAUAGUAAUUUCAAUAAAUAUCCGUGAUUGUAUUUGAUUGUUUUCUCUUUCUUGAUUAACCUAUUUGUUUUUUUUCUUUUUUGGGUUUUUUUUUGUUUUUUUCAAACCUUGAAAUGACAUGUCAAAAGUUAGUAAUUACUUUUAAUGUUGACAUGUGCCUAAUCAACAUAUCACAUUAUUUUUAUUAUUAUUCUUUUUUCUUUAUUUUACCUAUAAAAUAAUCUACUUUUUAAUUUUUUUUUUUCACUUUUUCUCCUUUUCAUAAUUAUUGAUUUUAAUUAUUUAGAUACAUUUUAAAUAUAUAAUAAUAAUAAUAAUAAUAACGACAACAAUAAUAACAAUAACAACAACAAUAAUAAUAUAUGAUAAAUAAUUAAUAGCAAAAAAUUAAUAUGCAAAUUUAGAAGUUUAAAAUAUAUAUAUAAGAUUUUAUAUAUUCAUAUUAAAUAAAAUAUUUAUUUAUUUGAUAAAUCUUAUUAUAUAAAUUAAAUAAAAAUAGGUUUAUCAUAUUAUUUUAUUAUUUCUAUUUUUUUUUAAAUUUAAACUUUUUAUGUGAAAAUCAAAAAUCAAUUAUCGUGAUUUUUUAACUUUUUUACUUAUGAUUCUUACUUGAAUGUAGUUUUAACUUUUUUUUAGUUAAAAUCAUUAAUAUUUUUAUUUUAAAAAAUAAAAACUUGAUUAUGGUUAUAAUAUUUUACUUUAUUAAAAUUUUAUUUUUUUAUUCAUAUAAAAUAAAAAUAAAAUAUGCUUUUAAAAAAAUUGUAUUUAAUCAUUGAUAUUAAUUUUCUUUUAAAUUUAUUAAAAAUUAAAAUUUUUGUAUAAUGAAAUUGCGCAUUAAUCAACACAACUAUUGAAAAAGAAUGUAUCAUUCUUUUAUGAAAAAUGUAACACUAAAGUUUGUUAAAAAUACCAUGAAAAUGUUACUUUUAACACAUUUUAGUGUUACUUUUUUCAUAAAAGAUUGGUACAUUUUUUCUAAUGGUUGUGUUGAUCAAUGCACAAUGUCAAUAUAUAAAAAUUUUAAUUUGUAAUAAGAUUAAGAAAAAUGAACAUAAAUGAUUAAAUACAAUUUUUAUGAAAAAUAUAAAUAAAAAAUAAAUUUUUUUAAUAAAGCAUAAUGUUAUCAUCACAACCAAAUUUUCUUCUUUAAUUACAAAUAUUAAACAUUUUAGCCAAGAAAAAAAAUUUAUGUCCUAAAUCUCAAUUGUGAUUUAGGCUAGUUAAAUUUAUAAGCAAAAAGCUAAAACUAUAAUUAUCAAUUAUGAUUUUCACAUGAAAAUUUAAAGUAAAAAAUAUAAAUAAUAUGACAAUAUAAUAAGAUUUAUAAAAUAAAUAAAUAUUUUAUUUAGUAUGAAUAUAGAAAAUUUUAUAUCCUAAAUCUCUAAAUUUGUUCAUCAUGUAUUUAUUUUUAUAUUAAAUUUAUUAUCAUUAAUUAUUUAUUAUAUAUUAUUAUUUUAUGUUUAAAAAUGUCCAUAAAUAAUUAAAAUUAAUAAAUAUAAAAAGCUGAAAUAUUAGAAAAUUUUCAUCAAGUUAACAUAUUAAAAAAAAACAAAAAUAAGAUGAGGAUAUUAAUCAUGUAGUAUGGUGAUUGCUGCAUGUCAUUUUUUUUUAAACAAUAAUAGUUAUGAUGAGUUCAUUUGUCUUGUCAAAGUAAAUAAUAAAAAGAAAAAAAAAAGUGAUAAUAAAAAGAAAAAAAAAGUGAUAGUUGAGGGAGGUGAAAGAAGAGGGAUUGAGGGUAAGUUUGAAAUAUCGAUUAUUUUCAUUAUUUGAGUGCUUUGGGAUUAUUUUCCCUUCUUUGAAAAUCAAAAAUCAAAGUUCUAAAAAAUGCAAUUUCUUUUUUUUAAAUGAUACAUGAUUACAUGAUUCCCCCUUUUUUUUUCAUCUUCUCAGUGCAUUUGGAAGUGCAUUUUCUGACCAGGUGUUUGUUCAGGGGUAAAUGCCUAAAACACAAAUCUGGACGAUUCGGUUAGAUCAAUUAUGCUGCAAGGCAUCCUUUCAACACGUACAAGAUAGUUAUCCAGUACUCGUGUAACUUAAAAACUUUUUAUUUGAGUUUCAUGCCAUAUUUUUUCCCUAAGCAAAUGAAAUAAUUCUACUGCUUCUUAUUAAGCGUUUAGAAUGGGUUAAAAUCCUAUAUCUGAAUGUGGGGAACAAUUUGCUCAGUGAAUGAAUUGCAUCAUCUUUACAUUUUAUUUCUUCCACUUUUGCUGCUGAAAAUAUGGGUGGUCUCAUCCGAAGUUGGGACAUGUUUCGGGGCCACUGCAUUCGAAUGAAUGGACUAGUGACUUCAAAUGCAAAUUUUGGACCACUAAAAGCUCCUAAGGAAUGGAGUUGUGAUUUCAAAUGCCAUAGAAGAUGUCUUUUUAUUUUUUAUAUAUUUUUUUUCAGCCCGGCGAUACAAUGUUGUUUAUGGGACAUCAAAUCUACUAGAAGGUCCUGCUUGAUUUAUAGGAAGAAAAUGUGAAGAAAAUUAUUUUCCUUAUAACUAGUGAGGUAGGUGGGUGCAACUUGUGCUCUAAGCAGCUUUCAUUGAAUAUUUGACAAAAUUAUCCUAUAAAUAAUUAGCAUCUUCCUCUAUGUGUCAUUUCCAGACUCAAGAUCCUUUCGUCGAUCAAGACAAACAUAUAACCCAUCUGGGAUUACUCUAUUUGGACCAAGAUAAGCUCCGUCUGGCACCUGAAAUGAGAAGUUUUCCUUCUUCCAUAAUGCCAGACGAAAUGGACAGACCAAGCCGACUAGACCUUUUAGACAGACAAAUCAAUCCAGUCAAGUCUUCAAGAUUUCUGAAAUGCGUGGUUAAUCACGCCUGAUGUCUUAGCAAUGGACUAGACGCUUGAUGUCUAAGCGACGACUAGAUGUCUGGUGUCUGAAUGAUGACCUAUACGCUUGAUGUUUGAGCAACGAACUAGACGUCAUUUACACCCAAAAGUCAAUGCCAAUCAAUUGUUACACACAAUCCCAUAUAUUGGCAAGCUAAAUGGACAGUCAACUACAUGAUCCAAGAUUUUGGCAUGAUAGUCAGCAAAUGGCAUAAGUCAGUAGCCCUUACUUGAUAUGAUUGCCCAUUUCACACAAUAGUGACAACGUUGACUGUCCUAGCAAGGCUCGAUUUUCGUCCUAAUGACAAUCAUCAUUACAAGAAAGACAAGAGUGCAUAAUCAAUGCUAUAAUCACGAUGUCAUCAGUUCUAUAUAAACCCCUCAAAAAGCACGAAUAAGAUAUACACUCAUUCUCUCCCACAAAAAAUAGUUAAAGCUAUCCUCAAUGAUUGCUGAUUUAAGCUUUGGAGGGGUGUGUCUGAACCACAUGUCCGGACAUCCUUCUGUGUAAGGAAGAAGUCCACCUAACUCCAGUGAAACUAGACGGACCUGAAUCCAAUUGGCUCGACACCAACAUAUGUGAUUCAAAACUCACAUGGAAGGCUCCAAUCAGUAAAGAGUCCUUCUCCAACGUGAUUAUCUCAGCAUGAGCCAUCAUCCCAUGACCAAGAGUGAAUACAAAAAUGUUAGGUAGGCCGCAUACAAAAGUACCCAUCGUUCUAUUAGGCUGUCGUAAUAUGCAUUAUCUAUUCGAAUUAUAUUCAAAGUUUCACCACUCGUAAAUAGGGCUGCAUAUUUCAAAAUUCCACACCUACCCCAUCUUCCAGUGUUUUAAGAGUUUCACACAAGUUUCUCUAAAUCUUCCUCAUUCUUAGCUGGCAAAUGUUGACACCUUCCUUUAGGAAUAAUACAAUAUCAAUGAUUCAAUAGAUCUCCUUUAACAACUUGAUGAAAAUCAUUCCCUUUCAUUUUCAUAAUUAGGUAUUGUCGAAUGAGGUUACUAGAAUAAAUGGAACUUGGGUUCACAUUGAUUAAUGGUAAAAUAGUGCCAAGUGAAAAUGCAAAUAACACAAGAUUAAUGAGAAGAAGAAAACACAUCAUUUUUCAUUACAACUAAAAAUGGAAGAUUCAUGGUGGUGAUUGAAAUGAAAUCUCCAAAUAGAGAUUGGCUAGUUAUAUUGUGACCUUGGUGGUUUGGAAAUCCAAGAUCUACCUUGUUGAGAAUGAUCAAAUUUUAGGGGUGUUACCAAUAUUGUCCCUCAUACUAAUGACCAAUUCAAGGCAUUGAAAUAUAAAAAAUGAAGCAGGUAGGAGUGGAUAUUAAAAAAAGAAGGGUGUCUUAGCUUCAUUGCCGACAAGUCUUUAGAGGAUCUUCAUCUAUAACUUACAUCAAACAAGAAGGGGUCAUGAAUUCAUUUGUAGUUUUCCUCAAAUAACAAGACUUGUUGACAUAUAUAUAAUCAGCGGGUAAACCAAUGGCUAGCAUCAUUGCUGAUGUAUGUAGCUAGCUUACGUAAGAUAAAGAACUAUCAUUAUCCAUGUGUAACUUAUGAGGUAGGAAUAGGCCUUCACAAAAAAGAACUUAUCUAAGGCAUUAUUUCUAGGGUGGUGUUUGUUGAAUUUUGAAUUUUGUCUUAGUAUUUGCUGGAAUUUGAAUUUUGAAGUUAAAUAUUGCAGUUGGAGUCUUGCACAAAAUCUACAGCAUCCAAAUAUUUUCUUGUUUUUUAUUUGGUCAAGAUUUGGUUUCUAUUUUAUAGAAAGUAGUUGUUCAUCAUCUAGCAACUUGAUUUUACGCUAUUCUAAUGUCAUUUUAGUUACAAGCUCAUGUAUAAAUUUAACACUCUUUAUCAAUAAAAUGUGUGUUCCAGGAACCCAAAAAUAUAUAUUCUUCAUAAGUGUUUAGUCAAAUCAACAUUGUGGUAUCAAAGCAGAAGUUAUCGUGAAGGGCCAAUGAGUUGAGUGAGCCUAAAUACCUUGAGAGUGCCUAAACACCACAGACCCGUGAGGUGAGUGAACCCAAAACACCACAAGUGAACCUAAACGCCUUCUAAAAUCAUCUAGCAAUGAAGGAGUCAAGUGUCACAGCUGCACCAUCAAUUCUUGAUGGAGACAAUUAUGAAACUUGGGUUGUUAGAAUGACAAUUCAUCUACAAGUACUUAAUGUUUGGGAAGUAGUGGAAGAAAAUUAUGAAGUUCCUCCACUAUGAGCCAAUCCAACUGUGGCUCAAAUGAAGUUGCAGAAAAAAAGAAAAACAAGAAAGGCUAAAGCGAAGGCUUUCUUGUUUGCUGCAAUUUCACCAUCAAUUUUGAUAAAAAAAUCAUGAAAAUUGAUUUAACUGCAAAAAUUUCGGAGUGGCUUAAGGAGGAAUACAAAGGAGAUGAAAGAAUCAAGAACAUGCAAGUGAUGAACUUGAUUUGAGAAUUUGAAAUGAAGAAAAUGAGGGAGUCUGGUGUUGUUAAAGUCUAUGCUACACAAUUUCUUUCAAUAGCAGACAAAGUUAGGCUGUUUGGAAAAGAAUUUUCCAAUCAGAAGAUUGUUCAAAAGAUAUUGGUUACACUUCUAGAGAAAUAUGAAGCUACAAUUUCCUCUUUGGAGAAUUCAAAGGAUCUGUCAACUAUUAGCUUGAUAGAAUUAUUACAUUCCUUGGAGAUUGUGGAACAAAAAAGGUUCAUGAGACAAGGAGAUACUAUAAAAGGAGCAUUUCAAGCAAGAAUGCAGAAAAAUGCAGGCCAUAAAAAUGGAGAGAAGAAAAAAAAAAAAAAAACAAGCUAAACAAUAUCAACCAGAAAAAUGGAGUUUUUCCACCUUGUCUUCAUUUUCCACAAAAAUGUUGGUAGGAACCAGAUGUGAAAUGUAACAAGUGUGGUAAACAAGGACAUGUGGAGAUGAUUUGCAAAAAUCAAUAACAAGAAGAAACUAGUGCAACAGUUGACCAAUGCCAAGAGGAGCAAUUGUUUGCAACAACGUGUUUUGCUAAUAAAAACACCUCUGAAAGUUGGCUUAUGGAUAGUGGUUGUACAAACCACAUGACAAAUAAUCAAGAUCUUUUUAGAGAACUUGAUAGAACAAUUAUUUCCAAAGUUAGAAUUGGAAAUGGUGUACUUAUUCUAGUGAACGGAAAAUGAACGGUUGCUAUCGAAAGCCAAAUAGGUUUGAAACUCAUUUAUGAUGUUUUGUUUGUGCCUGACAUUGACCAAAACUUAGUCAGUGUUGGACUUGUUGAGAAAGGAUCUAAAGUUUAUUUUGAAGAUAGGAAUUGUAUUAUUAAGGAUGCUGAAGGCAAAGAGGUGUUUAACAUAAAACUAAACUGCAAGAGUUUUGCUUUGAAUUUACUGGAAAAUGAGCAUGUUGUUGUUUUACAACAAGAUAGUACAAAAAUGCUUUGGCACAGAAGACUCGGGCACUUUAAUCAUGAUGUUGUGCUCUACAUGAAAAAAACUCAAAUAGUUGAAGAACUUCUUGAAUUUGAAAAAGAUCUUCCUAUAUGUGCUACUUGUCAAUAUGGGAAGCAAACUAAACUUUCAUUUCCAAAGAAAACAUCCUGGAGAGCAACCCAAAAACUGCAACUGGUGCAUACUAAUGUUGGUGGACCUCAAAAGACACCAUCCUUGAAAGGGAGAAACAAUGUGGGGCUGGCCAAUAAGUUCAAGGCUGAAAUGAAGCAAGUCCUGGAAAUGACAGACCUUGGAGAGAUGACUUAUUUCUUGGGAAAAGAAGUACAUCAUCAACAACAUGAUAUUUUCAUCUGUCAGAAAAAAUAUGCAAAAGAAAGAUUGAAGAAAUUCAGAAUGGAAGAAUGCAAGCCUACAUCAACUCCUAUGAACCAAAAAUAGAAUUUUUGUAAGGAAUAUGGUACUGAAAAGGCCGAUGAAGGAAAUUUUAGAAGCAUGAUUGGAUGCUUAAUGUACUUGACCGCAAUAAGACCAGAUAUAAUGUACAUCGUAAGUCUACUUUUGAGGUACAUGCAUUGUGCAAGUGAAAUUCAUUUUCAGACAACAAAACGUGUGUUGAGAUAUGUUAAAGGUACAAUUGAUUAUGGUAUUAAGUUCAAUCAAGUUAAAAAAUUCAUUCUUCAUGGAUAUUCCGAUAGCGAUUAGGUUGGAUGUGUUGAUGAUAUGCGAAAUACUUCAGGCUGUUUUAGUUUUGGUUAUAGUAUAUUUUCUUGGAGUUCAAAGAAACAAGAAGUUAUGGCUCAAUCCACAGCUGAGGCGGAGUAUGUUGCUGUUGUUGAUGCUGUAAAUCAAGUUUUCUGGUUUAGAAAGUUGCUGACAGAUCUGGACAUGAAGCAAGAAAUGAGUACUCAAGUGUUUGUUGACAACCAAGCUGCUAUAUCUAUUGCCAAUGACCCGGUUUUUCAUGGCAAAACAAAGCACUUCAAGAUUAAACUAUACUUUCUGACCGUGGUGCAGAAGGAAGGAAAUGCGCAACUAGUCUAUUGUAACAUGGAGAGUCAAAAUGCUGAUAUAUUAUCUAAAUCUCUUCAUAAAGCAAGGUUUGAGUUUCUACGUGGAAGACUUGGAGUUUGCAUCUACUAAGUCAAGGAGGAGUGUUGAAUUUUGAAUUUUUCCUUAGUAUCUGUUGGAUUUGAAUUUUAAAGUUAAAUAUUGCAGUUGGACUCUUACACAAAAUCCGCAACAUCCAAAUAUAUAUAUAUUUUUUUUGUCAAGAUUUGGUUUCUAUUUUAUAGGAAGUAGUUGUUCAUCAUCAAUAAAAUAUUUCGUCAAGAUUUGAUUUUCUGUCAUUCUAAUGUCAUUUCAGUUACAAUCUCACGUAUUAAUUCAAUAUUCUUUAUCAAUAAAAUGUGUGUUUUAGCACCCAAGAUUUGGUUUCUAUUUUAUAGGAAGUCAGAUCCACAGCGUUCACAGUAUUAGACAAAGGGCACGUUCAGAUGUGACCCUUUCCACAGUCAAAUUGGAUAAAUAUGUGUCGUCUCCCUAAGGUUUCUCAAUAAUUCAUCUCCGUUAAAAAAUCUUGAGGCAUCAUCACUCUGUGGUUGACAGUUUGUUUGAAAAGCUGAUCUGGCAUGGAUAAAAUCUUGGGCUAUCUUUACUCUGUGGUUGACAGCUUGUUUGAAAAGCUGAUCAGGAUAGUGGAUAGACUUAAUUGGUGCCAUGUCUUCCCUCCUUUCAUACUUGAACUAGUGGAUUUAAAUCCAACAUUUUCUUAACCAACCAAAGAUACAUCGCUAAACAAAACCAUAGGAAAGACAUGGGAAACCUUAGUCCUACAUCUUCAAAGUUUCCUUCCAUUCUUCUUAUCAUUCUCAUAUUUCUCAUCUCCUUCUCUUUUGCAACUUCCAACACCCAGAACCUUUUGCGAAGAGGCUCCUCUCUCUCUGUCGAAGAUGAUUCCGACUACAUCACCUCCCCAGACAAAUCAUUCACUUGUGGUUUCUAUGGGAUGGGGAAAAAUGCUUACUGGUUUUCGAUAUGGUUCACAAAUUCAAAGGAAAAAACUGUUGUUUGGACGGCCAAUCGAAACACACCUGUCAAUGGCCGGGGCUCCAGAAUUUGGCUGCAGCGAGAUGGCACCAUGAUUCUAAGGGCUGCUGAUGGCUCAACUGUUUGGGAGACGAACACUACCUCCACAGAUGUUGAUCGAGCAGAGCUUUUGGACACUGGAAACCUUGUUUUGAAGGACCCGCGGGGUAAAGUUCUAUGGCAAAGCUUUGAUUUUCCUACUGAUACUCUUCUGCC